rnacentral:rRNA from 1 species
GACUUCAGCAGAUUCAUGUGGAUCGUGUUGUUGAAGACAAAGGACCAAGCUUUGCAAGCCUUCAGGAUAAUAAAGAUGGCGGCUGAAGUAGGAUCUGAAGCCAAGCUGAAGGCCCUCCGUACCGAUCGGGGGGGUGAGUUCAAGUCUCGUGCAUUCACGGAAUUUUGCGAAGCUCAAGGGAUCAAGAGGUAUCUUACGGCGCCAUAUUCACCGCAGCAAAACGUUGUUGUGGAACGGAGGAAUCAGACUGUGGUAGCGAUGGCACGAAGCAUGCUGAAGAGUAAAGGCAUGCCGGGCAAGUUUUGGGGUGAG